GAUGAAGAACGCAGCGAAAUGCGAUAAGUAAUGUGAAUUGCAGAAUUCAGUGAAUCAUCGAAUCUUUGAACGCACAUUGCGCCCCCUGGUAUUCCGGGGGGCAUGCCUGUUCGAGCGUCAUUUCACCACUCAAGCCUCGCUUGGUAUUGGGCAACGCGGUCCGCCGCGUGCCUCAAAUCGACCGGCUGGGUCUUCUGUCCCCUAAGCGUUGUGGAAACUAUUCGCUAAAGGGUGCUCGGGAGGCUGCGCCGUAAAACAAACCCAUUUCUAAGGUUGACCUCGGAUCAGGUAGGGAUACCCGCUGAACUUAAGCAUAUCAAUAAGCGGAGGA
rnacentral:misc_RNA from 1 species